UGCCUACGGGAGGCAGCAGUGGGGAAUAUUGCACAAUGGGGGAAACCCUGAUGCAGCAACGCCGCGCGAGUGAAGAAGGUUUUCGGAUUGUAAAGCUCUGUUAGCAGGGAAGAGGAAGGACGGUACCUGCAGAGGAAGCCACGGCUAACUACGUGAAAGCAGCCGCGGUAAUACGUAGGUGGCAAGCGUUGAUCGGAAUAACUGGGCGUAAAGGAUGCGUAGGCGGUGAAAAAAGUUAUAUGUUAAAUAU
rnacentral:rRNA from 1 species